rnacentral:rRNA from 1 species
CCUACGGGAGGCAGCAGUGGGGGAUAUUGCACAAUGGGGGAAACCCUGAUGCAGCGACGCCGCGUGGGCGAAGAAGCGCCUCGGCGCGUAAAGCCCUGUCAGCAGGGAAGAAAAUUACGGUACCUGAAGAAGAAGACCCGGCUAACUACGUGCCAGCAGCCGCGGGAAUACGUAGGGGGCAAGCGUUAUCCGGAUUUACUGGGUGUAAAGGGGGCGCAGACGGCGGUGCAAGCCAGGAGUGAAAGCCCGGGGCCCAAACCCGGGACUGCUCUUGGAACUGGGUGGCUAGAGUGCGGGAGGGGCAGGCGGAAUUCCUGGUGUAGCGGUGAAAUGCGUAGAUAUCAGGAGGAACACCGGUGGCGAAGGCGGCCUGCUGGACUGCAACUGACGUUGAGGCCCGAAAGCGUGGGGAGCAAACAGGAGUAGAUAUCCGUGUAGUC